GAUGAACGCUGGCGGCGUGCCUAAUACAUGCAAGUCGAACGAACGGACGAUAAUUUUGCUUCUCUGAUGUUAGCGGCGGACGUGUGUGUAACGCGUGUAUAACCUACCUAUAUGACUGGUAUAACUUCGGGAAACGGGAGCUAAUCCGAGAUGAGAUUUUGAACCGCAGUGUUCAAAGGUGAAAUACGGUCUUGCUGUCACUUAUAGAUGGAUCCGCGCUGCUUUAGCUAGUUGUUAAGGUAACGGCUUACCAAGGCAACGAUGCAUAGACGACGUGAGAGGGUGAUCGCCCACACUGGAACUGAGACACGGUCCAGACUCCUACGGGAGGCAGCAGUAGGGAAUCUGCCGCAAUGGGCGAAAGCAUGACGGAGCAACGCCGCGUGAGUGACGACGGUCUUCGGAUCGUAAAACUCUGUUAUUAGGGAAGAACAUAUGUGUAAGUAACUGUGCACAGCUUGACGGUACCUAAUCAGAAAGCAACGGCUAACUACGUG
rnacentral:rRNA from 1 species